rnacentral:rRNA from 1 species
UACGAAGGGGGCUAGCGUUGCUCGGAAUCACUGGGCGUAAAGGGUGCGUAGGCGGGUCUUUAAGUCAGGGGUGAAAUCCUGGAGCUCAACUCCAGAACUGCCUUUGAUACUGGAGAGCUUGAGUCCGGGAGAGGUGAGUGGAACUCCGAGUGUAGAGGUGAAAUUUCGUAGAUAUUCGGAAGAACACCAGUGGCGAAGGCGGCUUCCUGGCCUGUAACUGACGCUGAGACGCGAAAGCGUGGGGAGCGAACCGG